ACUCAAAGGAAUUGACGGGGACCCGCACAAGCGGUGGAUCAUGUUCUUUAAUUCGAUGGUAAGCGAAGAACCUUACCAGGGUUUGACAUCCUUGGAAUUUUGGCGAAAGCCGAGAGUGCCUUAGGGAGCCAAGUGACAGGUGCUGCAUGGCCGUCGUCAGCUCGUGUCGUGAGAUGUUAGGUUAAGUCCUUCAACGAGCGCAACCCUUAUGAUUAGUUGGAUUUUUCUAAUCAGACUGCCCCGGUAACGGGGAGGAAGGAGGGGAUGAUGUCAGGUCAGUAUUGCCCUUACACCCUGGGCUAGAAACGUGAUACAAUGGCUGGUACAAAGGGCAGCGAAGUCGCGAGACGGAGCAAAUCCCAUCAAAGCCAGUCUCAGUUCGGAUUGUAGGCUGAAACUCGCCUACAUGAAGCUGGAAUCGCUAGUAAUCGCAGGUCAGCACACUGCGGUGAAUACGUUCCCGGGUCUUGUACACACCGCCCGU
rnacentral:rRNA from 1 species